rnacentral:rRNA from 1 species
CGGACGGGUGAGUAACGCGUGGAUAACCUGCCUCAUACAGGGGGAUAACAGUUAGAAAUGACUGCUAAUACCGCAUAAGCGCACAGGACCGCAUGGUCCGGUGUGAAAAACUCCGGUGGUAUGGGAUGGAUCCGCGUCUGAUUAGCUGGUUGGUGAGGUAACGGCCCACCAAGGCGACGAUCAGUAGCCGACCUGAGAGGGUGGCCGGCCACAUUGGGACUGAGACACGGCCCAAACUCCUACGGGAGGCAGCAG